rnacentral:rRNA from 1 species
UGUGAGCUCGAUGAGUAGGGCGGGACACGUGGUAUCCUGUCUGAAUAUGGGGGGACCAUCCUCCAAGGCUAAAUACUCCUGACUGACCGAUAGUGAACCAGUACCGUGAGGGAAAGGCGAAAAGAACCCCGGCGAGGGGAGUGAAAAAGAACCUGAAACCGUGUACGUACAAGCAGUGGGAGCACGCUUAGGCGUGUGACUGCGUACCUUUUGUAUAAUGGGUCAGCGACUUAUAUUCUGUAGCAAGGUUAACCGAAUAGGGGAGCCGAAGGGAAACCGAGUCUUAACUGGGCGUUAAGUUGCAGGGUAUAGACCCGAAACCCGGUGAUCUAGCCAUGGGCAGGUUGAAGGUUGGGUAACACUAACUGGAGGACCGAACCGACUAAUGUUGAAAAAUUAGCGGAUGACUUGUGGCUGGGGGUGAAAGGCCAAUCAAACCGGGAGAUAGCUGGUUCUCCCCGAAAGCUAUUUAGGUAGCGCCUCGUGAAUUCAUCUCCGGGGGUAGAGCACUGUUUCGGCAAGGGGGUCAUCCCGACUUACCAACCCGAUGCAAACUGCGAAUACCGGAGAAUGUUAUCACGGGAGACACACGGCGGGUGCUAACGUCCGUCGUGAAGAGGGAAACAACCCAGACCGCCAGCUAAGGUCCCAAAGUCAUGGUUAAGUGGGAAACGAUGUGGGAAGGCCCAGACAGCCAGGAUGUUGGCUUAGAAGCAGCCAUCAUUUAAAGAAAGCGUAAUAGCUCACUGGUCGAGUCGGCCUGCGCGGAAGAUGUAACGGGGCUAAACCAUGCACCGAAGCUGCGGCAGCGACACUAUGUGUUGUUGGGUAGGGGAGCGUUCUGUAAGCCUGUGAAGGUGUACUGUGAGGUAUGCUGGAGGUAUCAGAAGUGCGAAUGCUGACAUAAGUAACGAUAAAGCGGGUGAAAAGCCCGCUCGCCGGAAGACCAAGGGUUCCUGUCCAACGUUAAUCGGGGCAGGGUGAGUCGACCCCUAAGGCGAGGCCGAAAGGCGUAGUCGAUGGGAAACAGGUUAAUAUUCCUGUACUUGGUGUUACUGCGAAGGGGGGACGGAGAAGGCUAUGUUGGCCGGGCGACGGUUGUCCCGGUUUAAGCGUGUAGGCUGGUUUUCCAGGCAAAUCCGGAAAAUCAAGGCUGAGGCGUGAUGACGAGGCACUACGGUGCUGAAGCAACAAAUGCCCUGCUUCCAGGAAAAGCCUCUAAGCAUCAGGUAACAUCAAAUCGUACCCCAAACCGACACAGGUGGUCAGGUAGAGAAUACCAAGGCGCUUGAGAGAACUCGGGUGAAGGAACUAGGCAAAAUGGUGCCGUAACUUCGGGAGAAGGCACGCUGAUAUGUAGGUGAAG